AUGUUUCUGUUGUCACUGCUCGUGUCAUCAGUUUUUGAGCUUUUGAUUGGACAGAUUGUCUCAACAAUGUUUGAGAACCAAAUCUUCCUCCUCUUCUUAUUCCUUCCUCAUUUUGCCCUCUUGUUGCUCUUCCGGCUCUUAGACCAUUUAACAAUGCUUUUCCCUCCAAAACCAACAAUUGAAGUAAUGCGACUCCGCCCUACGAACCACACAUUUCUGUCACUUGUUAUGCAAAUCAUAUUCUCAUACUUUUUAAAAUAUUUGCUUUGCCACUUAACUCCAAUGGGUGAUUCUGUGGUUCGAUCAUUCUGA
rnacentral:rRNA from 1 species